rnacentral:misc_RNA from 1 species
GAUGAAGAACGUAGCGAAAUGCGAUAAGUAAUGUGAAUUGCAGAAUUCAGUGAAUCAUCGAAUCUUCGAACGCACAUUGCGCCCGCCAGUAUUCUGGCGGGCAUGCCUGUUCGAGCGUCAUUUCAACCAUCAAGCCCCCGGCUUGUGUUGGGGACCUGCGGCUGCCGCAGGCCCUGAAAACCAGUGGCGGGCUCGCUAGUCACUCCGAGCGUAGUAAUACAUCUCGCUCAGGGCGUGCUGCGGGUUCCGGCCGUUAAAAAGCCUUAUUUACCCAAGGUUGACCUCGGAUCAGGUAGGAAGACCCGCUGAACUUAAGCAUAUCAAUAAGCGGAGGA